rnacentral:rRNA from 1 species
GAUCAUGGCUCAGGAUGAACGCUGACAGAAUGCUUAACACAUGCAAGUCAACUUGAAUUUGGGUUUUUAACUUAGAUUUGGGUGGCGGACGGGUGAGUAACGCGUAAAGAACUUGCCUCACAGCUAGGGACAACAUUUAGAAAUGAAUGCUAAUACCUGAUAUUAUGGUUAUAGGGCAUCCUAUAAUUAUGAAAGCUAUAAGCACUGUGAGAGAGCUUUGCGUCCCAUUAG